AGUAACACGUAGGGUAACCUGCCUGUCCCUUUGGGAUAACUCCGGGAAACCGGGGCUAAUACCGGAUGGUUGUCUGAACCGCAUGGUUCAGACAUAAAAGGUGGCUUCCGCUACCACUUACAGAUGGACCCGCGGCGCAUUAGCUAGUUGGUGAGGUAACGGCUCACCAAGGCAACGAUGCGUAGCCGACCUGAGAGGGUGAUCGGCCACACUGGGACUGAGACACGGCCCAGACUCCUACGGGAGGCAGCAGUAGGGAAUCUUCCGCAAUGGACGAAAGUCUGACGGAGCAACGCCGCGUGAGUGAUGAAGGUUUUCGGAUCGUAAAGCUCUGUUGUUAGGGAAGAACAAGUGCCGUUCAAAUAGGGCGGCACCUUGACGGUACCUAACCAGAAAGCCACGGCUAACUACGUGCCAGCAGCCGCGGUAAUACGUAGGUGGCAAGCGUUGUCCGGAAUUAUUGGGCGUAAAGGGCUCGCAGGCGGUUUCUUAAGUCUGAUGUGAAAAGCCCCCGGCUCAACCGGGGAAGGGUCAUUGGAAAC
rnacentral:rRNA from 1 species